UCUCUCCUGUCUCAAAGGGUAAAGAAUCCGCCUGCAAUGUGGGAGACCCAGGUUCGAUCCCUGGGGUUGGGA
rnacentral:tRNA from 1 species